CCUACGGGUGGCAGCAGUGGGGAAUAUUGCACAAUGGGGGAAACCCUGAUGCAGCAACGCCGCGUGAGUGAAGAAGUAUCUCGGUAUGUAAAGCUCUAUCAGCAGGGAAGAGAAUGACGGUACCUGACUAAGAAUCUCUGGCUAACUACGUGCCAGCAGCCGCGGUAAUACGUAGGGGGCGAGCGUUAUCCGGAUUUACUGGGUGUAAUGGGCGUGCAGCCGGGAAGACAGGUCAGUUGUGAAAUCCUGCGGCUCAACCGCGGAACUGCAUUUGAAACUGUUUGUCUUGAGUACCGGAGAGGUCAUCGGAAUUCCUUGUGUAGCGGUGAAAUGCGUAGAUAUAAGGAAGAACACCAGUGGCGAAGGCAGAUGACUGGACGGCAACUGACGGUGAGGCGCGAAAGCGUGGGGAGCAAACAGGAUUAGAUACCCUUGUAGUC
rnacentral:rRNA from 1 species